CUUUGGCACUCAGCGCAGUCUACCAUUACCUUAGUGGGAUUAGCUCCCCUCAGUACCUUAGUGCCUGUGUUGGGGUCCUGUUCACCCUGUCCCAGGACAGGACCUCACCUGAAGUUCAGAUGUGGGCUGUCCAUGCUCUUUUCAUGGUUGUGGAUCUAGCAGGCCCUUUGUACCACAGUCACUUGGAGGCUUGUUUCAAUCUGCUGCUACCUUUGCUGCUCUCAACGCCACAUACACAUGUGGAAGUACAGCAAAGCCUGGGCCGCUGAUUUAACGCCCUCAUCACCUCCAUGGGACAUGAUAUGCAAGGUGAGGGUGCAGGUG